AACAGGAUUAGAUACCCUGGUAGUCCACCCCGUAAACGCUGGGAACUAGUUGUGGGGACCAUUCCACGGUUUCCGUGACGCAGCUAACGCAUUAAGUUCCCCGCCUGGGGAGUACGGCCGCAAGGCUAAAACUCAAAGGAAUUGACGGGGACCCGCACAAGCGGCGGAGCAUGCGGAUUAAUUCGAUGCAACGCGAAGAACCUUACCAAGGCUUGACAUAUACGAGAACGGGCCAGAAAUGGUCAACUCUUUGGACACUCGUAAACAGGUGGUGCAUGGUUGUCGUCAGCUCGUGUCGUGAGAUGUUGGGUUAAGUCCCGCAACGAGCGCAACCCUCGUUCUAUGUUGCCAGCACGUAAUGGUGGGAACUCAUGGGAUACUGCCGGGGUCAACUCGGAGGAAGGUGGGGAUGACGUCAAAUCAUCAUGCCCCUUAUGUCUUGGGCUUCACGCAUGCUACAAUGGCCGGUACAAAGGGCUGCAAUACCGUGAGGUGGAGCGAAUCCCAAAAAGCCGGUCCCAGUUCGGAUUGAGGUCUGCAACUCGACCUCAUGAAGUCGGAGUCGCUAGUAAUCGCAGAUCAGCAACGCUGCGGUGAAUACGUUCCCGGGUCUUGUACACACCGCCCGUCAAGUCAUGAAAGUCGGUAACACCUGAAGCCGGUGGCCCAACCCUUGUGGAGGGAGCCGUCGAAGGUGGGAUCGGUAAUUAGGACUAAGUCGUAACAAGGUAACC
rnacentral:rRNA from 1 species